rnacentral:rRNA from 1 species
GGCGCACGGGUGAGUACGCGUAUGUAACCUGCCCGCAACAGGGGGAUAACCCGGCGAAAGUCGGACUAAUACCGCAUAAAACAGGGGUCCCGCAUGGGAAUAUUUGUUAAAGAUUUAUCGGUUGCGGAUGGGCAUGCGUACCAUUAGGUAGUUGGUGAGGUAACGGCUCACCAAGCCUUCGAUGGUUAGGGGUUCUGAGAGGAAGGUCCCCCACACUGGUACUGAGACACGGACCAGACUCCUACGGGAGGCAGCAGUGAGGAAUAUUGGUCAAUGGGCGAGAGCCUGAACCAGCCAAGUCGCGUGAAGGAUGACUGCCCUAUGGGUUGUAAACUUCUUUUACAAGGGAAUAAAAUGAGAUACGUGUAUUUUAUUGCAUGUACCUUGGGAAUAAGCAUCGGCUAACUCCGUGCCAGCAGCCGCGGUAAUACGGAGGAUGCGAGCGUUAUCCGGAUUUAUUGGGUUUAAAGGGUGCGUAGGUGGGCUGUUAAGUCAGCGGUGAAAGUUUGUCGCUUAACGAUAAAAUUGCCGUUGAAACUGGUAGUCUUGAGUAUAGAUGAAGUANGCGGAAUGCGUGGUGUAGCGGUGAAAUGCAUAGAGAUCACGCAGAACUCCGAUUGCGAAGGCAGCUUACUAAGGUAUAACUGACACUGAAGCACGAAAGCG